rnacentral:rRNA from 1 species
CGUAGGGUGCGAGCGUUGUCCGGAAUUAUUGGGCGUAAAGGGUGCGUAGGUGGGUUGGUAAGUCAGUGGUGAAAUCUCCGAGCUUAACUUGGAAACUGCCAUUGAUACUAUCAGUCUUGAAUAUUGUGGAGGUCAGCGGAAUAUGUCAUGUAGCGGUGAAAUGCUUAGAUAUGACAUAGAACACCAAUUGCGAAGGCAGCUGGCUACGCAUAUAUUGACACUGAGGCACGAAAGCGUGGGGAUCAAACAGGAUUAGAUACCCUGGUAGUCCACGCCCUAAACUAUGGAUACUCGACAUACGCGAUAAACUGUGUGUGUCUGAGCGAAAGCAUUAAGUAUCCCACCUGGGAAGUACGAUCGCAAGAUUG